rnacentral:rRNA from 1 species
CAACUUGAGAGUUUGAUCCUGGCUCAGAACGAACGCUGGCGGCAGGNNNNNNNNNNGAUUUAUCGAGCAGUGGCAAACGGGUGAGUAACGCGUGGGAACGUGCCCUUCACUACGGAAUAGCCCAUGGAAACGUGGAUUAAUACCGUAUACGCCCUUCGGGGGAAAGAAUUUCGGUGAAGGAUCGGCCCGCGUCUGAUUAGGUAGUUGGUGGGGUAAUGGCCUACCAAGCCGACGAUCAGUAGCUGGUUUUAGAGGAUGAUCAGCCACACUGGGACUGAGACACGGCCCAGACUCCUACGGGAGGCAGCAGUGGGGAAUCUUAGACAAUGGGGGCAACCCUGAUCUAGCCAUGCCGCGUGAGUGAUGAAGGUCUUAGGAUCGUAAAGCUCUUUCGCCUGUGAUGAUAAUGACAGUAGCAGGUAAAGAAACCCCGGCUA